AGAGUUUGAUCCUGGCUCAGGACGAACGCUGGCGGGCGUGCCUAAUACAUGCAAGUGGAACGCAUUGGUAACACCGGACUUGCUCCAGUGUUACUAAUGAGUCGCGAACGGGUGAGUAACGCGUAGGUAACCUGCCUGAUAGCGGGGGAUAACUAUUGGAAACGAUAGCUAAUACCGCAUAAGAGGAGUUAACUCAUGUUAACUGUUUAAAAGAAGCAAUGGCUUCACUAUCAGAUGGACCUGCGUUGUAUUAGCUAGUAGGUAGGGUAACGGCCUACCUAGGCAACGAUACAUAGCCGACCUGAGAGGGUGAACGGCCACACUGGGACUGAGACACGGCCCAGACUCCUACGGGAGGCAGCAGUAGGGAAUCUUCGGCAAUGGACGCAAGUCUGACCGAGCAACGCCGCGUGAGUGAAGACGGUUUUCGGAUCGUAAAGCUCUGUUGUAGGGGAAGAACGUGUGUAAGAGUGGAAAGCUUACACAGUGACGGUACCCUACCAGAAAGGGACGGCUAACUACGUGCCAGCAGCCGCGGUAAAUAA
rnacentral:rRNA from 1 species